UACGAGGGGGGCAAGCGUUGUUCGGAAUUAUUGGGCGUAAAGGGCGCGUAGGCGGUGUGUCAAGUCAGGCGUGAAAGCCCCGGGCUCAACCUGGGAACCGCGCUUGAGACUGGCACGCUAGAGUUCGGGAGAGGAUGGUGGAAUUCCCAGUGUAGAGGUGAAAUUCGUAGAUAUUCGGAAGAACACCAGUGGCGAAGGCGACUUACUGGACACAUAUUGACGCUGAGGUGCGAAAGCGUGGGGAGCAAACAGG
rnacentral:rRNA from 1 species